UAAGAAAUUAUGUCAAAUUUAUGCAACUGCUAUUAUAUCAACCACGUUGAAGUACAACUAUGUACCUGUCUAAUCUACAGGGUAUUGGUUGGAAUGGCUGGUAUAUUUCAAGCACCGCGUAGCCAGGCUUCGAAAUGCAAACGAAACAUAUAGUUAUCGAUUAAACCAGCUCGCGACGUCCAGUUACAAAUCACUCACGCGACCGUGUGUAUAAUGAGCCACGCUGUGGGCAAACUACGCUCGUCGCUCGACUUAUGUUUAUUCCGUUAGCUGCGACGGUUACAUCAUAAACUCGCGUAGGACGAAGCAGAACGAAGGGGAGAAAAACGAAGAGGGAGGAAGGACGAGGAACGGCGAAG
rnacentral:misc_RNA from 1 species